rnacentral:rRNA from 1 species
UAAAAAAAGGUAAGCUACUAAGAGCGAAUGGUGGAUGCCUUGACUGGUAAAGGCGAUGAAGGACGUACUAGACUGCGAUAAGCUACGGGGAGCUGUCAAGAAGCUUUGAUCCGUAGAUUUCCGAAUGGGGCAACCCAAUGUAUAGAGAUAUACAUUACCUAUAUAGGAGCGAACGAGGGGAAUUGAAACAUCUUAGUACCCUCAGGAAAAGAAAUCAAUAGAGAUUGCGUCAGUAGCGGCGAGCGAAAGCGCAAGAGGGCAAACCCAGUGCUUGCACUGGGGGUUGUAGGACUGCAAUGUGCAAGAGCUGAGUUUAGCAGAACAUUCUGGAAAGUAUAGCCAUAGAGGGUGAUAGUCCCGUAUGCGAAAAACAAAGCUUAGCUAGCAGUAUCCUGAGUAGGGCGGGACACGAGGAAUCCUGUCUGAAUCCGGGUCGACCACGAUCCAACCCUAAAUACUAAUACCAGAUCGAUAGUGCACAAGUACCGUGAGGGAAAGGUGAAAAGAACUGAGGUGAUCAGAGUGAAAUAGAACCUGAAACCAUUUGCUUACAAUCAUUCAGAGCACUAUGUAGCAAUACAGUGUGAUGGACUGCCUUUUGCAUAAUGAGCCUGCGAGUUGUGGUGUCUGGCAAGGUUAAGCAAACGCGAAGCCGUAGCGAAAGCGAGUCUGAAUAGGGCGCUUAGUCAGAUGCUGCAGACCCGAAACGAAGUGAUCUAUCCAUGAGCAAGUUGAAGCUAGUGUAAGAACUAGUGGAGGACUGAACCCAUAGGCGUUGAAAAGCCCCGGGAUGACUUGUGGAUAGGGGUGAAAGGCCAAUCAAACUUCGUGAUAGCUGGUUCUCUCCGAAAUAUAUUUAGGUAUAGCGUUGUGUCGUAAUAUAAGGGGGUAGAGCACUGAAUGGGCUAGGGCAUACACCAAUGUACCAAACCCUAUCAAACUCCGAAUACCUUAUAUGUAAUCACAGCAGUCAGGCGGCGAGUGAUAAAAUCCGUCGUCAAGAGGGAAACAACCCAGACUACCAGCUAAGGUCCCUAAAUCUUACUUAAGUGGAAAACGAUGUGAAGUUACUUAAACAACCAGGAGGUUGGCUUAGAAGCAGCCAUCCUUUAAAGAAAGCGUAAUAGCUCACUGGUCUAGUGAUUUUGCGCGGAAAAUAUAACGGGGCUAAAGUAAGUACCGAAGCUGUAGACUUGCACACAACUUAGAUUAUUUAAGUUUAGAAUAUGAGAAACUAAGUUAUAUGUUUAGUUAUAUUUUUACUGAUUUUUAUAGAGUAAAGAUAGAAAUAAAACUUAGUAAAAUCAGUAAAAAUAUUCUUAGGCUAAAGUUAAGUAGUUUAAGUUGUGUGCAAGUGGUAGGAGAGCGUUCUAUUUGCGUCGAAGGUAUACCGGUAAGGAGUGCUGGAGCGAAUAGAAGUGAGCAUGCAGGCAUGAGUAGCGAUAAUUAAUGUGAGAAUCAUUAACGCCGUAAACCCAAGGUUUCCUACGCGAUGCUCGUCAUCGUAGGGUUAGUCGGGUCCUAAGUCGAGUCCGAAAGGGGUAGACGAUGGCAAAUUGGUUAAUAUUCCAAUACCAACAUUAGUGUGCGAUGGAAGGACGCUUAGGGCUAAGGGGGCUAGCGGAUGGAAGUGCUAGUCUAAGGUCGUAGGAGGUUAUACAGGCAAAUCCGUAUAACAAUACUCCGAGAACUGAAAGGCUUUUUGAAGUCUUCGGAUGGAUAGAAGAACCCCUGAUGCCGUCGAGCCAAGAAAAGUUUCUAAGUUUAGCUAAUGUUGCCCGUACCGUAAACCGACACAGGUGGGUGGGAUGAGUAUUCUAAGGCGCGUGGAAGAACUCUCUUUAAGGAACUCUGCAAAAUAGCACCGUAUCUUCGGUAUAAGGUGUGGUUAGCUUUGUAUUAGGAUUUACUCCGAAAGCAAGGAAACUUACAACAAAGAGUCCCUCCCGACUGUUUACCAAAAACACAGCACUCUGCUAACUCGUAAGAGGAUGUAUAGGGUGUGACGCCUGCCCGGUGCUCGAAGGUUAAUUGAUGGGGUUAGCAUUAGCGAAGCUCUUGAUCGAAGCCCGAGUAAACGGCGGCCGUAACUAUAACGGUCCUAAGGUAGCGAAAUUCCUUGUCGGUUAAAUACCGACCUGCAUGAAUGGCGUAACGAGAUGGGAGCUGUCUCAAAGAGGGAUCCAGUGAAAUUGUAGUGGAGGUGAAAAUUCCUCCUACCCGCGGCAAGACGGAAAGACCCCGUGGACCUUUACUACAGCUUGACACUGCUACUUGGAUAAGAAUGUGCAGGAUAGGUGGGAGGCUUUGAGUAUAUGACGCCAGUUGUAUAUGAGCCAUUGUUGAGAUACCACUCUUUCUUAUUUGGGUAGCUAACCAGCUUGAGUUAUCCUCAAGUGGGACAAUGUCUGGUGGGUAGUUUGACUGGGGCGGUCGCCUCCCAAAUAAUAACGGAGGCUUACAAAGGUUGGCU